rnacentral:rRNA from 1 species
GACGAACGCUGGCGGCGUGCUUAACACAUGCAAGUCGAACGAAGUGGCGACCGGGUGAGUAACGCGUAAUCAACCUGCCCUUCAGAGGGGGACAACAGUUGGAAACGACUGCUAAUACCGAAUACUGAAGGAGGGGAUUGGUGCUGAUUAGCUAGUGGGAGGGGUAACGGCCCACAAAGGCGAUGAUCAGUAGCCGGUCUGAGAGGAUGAACCGCAACAGUGGGAAUGAGAAACGUCCCAGACUCCUACGGGAGGCAGCAGUGGGGAAUCUGCCGCAAUGGACGAAAGUCUGACGGAGGAACGCCGCGUGAGUGAUGACGGCCUUCGGGUUGGAAAGCUCUGUUAAUCGGUACGCGGUACCGGAAUAGAAAGCCACGGCUAACUACGUGCCAGCAGCCGCGGUAAUUC